CAUAACGUUGGCUAAUGUUAGAACAACGUCAGAAGCGUUGAGCAGUUUUUUAAACUACGCGCUUACGUCAAACCAACGUCGGGCCAAAGUCUAAAUACGAUUUCGAAAAGCGCAUAGCGUGUUUCAGACUUUAAUGUUAAAAUAGAACUUUGUUUGCUUUGAAUUUACAAUUAAAUUAAAAUUAGUUUAUUGGCUCUUAUACUUGAUAAUGUUUGAAAAUUCAACAUUUGCUCAAGGCACUUAUGAAUUUAAAAAGAAUUAAUAAACUUAAUCAACUCUUCAUGAAGACUUGUCAUGGUUAAAAUAUGAAGGGUAUCGUUAUGCAGGAAAAAGAAAAUAGGACGAGGAAAAUAAUAAUGAUAACAAUAACUGAUUUUCGCAAAAGAUUGAAGUUAAAGAAAAAGAGAGAGCGCCUAGUUUAACACUGAAGUUAAGUGGAGUAAAAAAACCUUUUGAAUAUGACUAUGAGGAUGACAUACCAAAGUUAUGCAAAUCCUCAAGUAAACUAAAAAGUUAAACUUAGAUUCUGUGGCAUCAAAUUCAAGUAAAGUAGUUGAUGAUGACAAUAGGGAAAAGUGUAAAUGCUUUUAUAAGUUAAGGAAAAUUGGUGAUGGUGGAGUUUCGUUUCGAGAAAUGACAAAUAAACGUGAGUUUUUUUGUUAACUUAUUAUUUUUUUUCCAUGAAACCCAUGAAACAAAGUUCAUUGAUAAUUUUUUCAACAAUAUCAUUUUUAUUAAGAGAAUAAACAGCAAGACUGUUUAAGCCACACAUGUAUGGAACUGAGAAUGUAAAACUGCCAAAAAAAGAUUAGUCUAAAUUUGAAGAUUCUUAAAUCUGCAUAUCUAAUUUUUGCUUAUUGCUUCUUUUGAUUUGAUUUCUUGUUCAGAAUUUCAAUAUGCUUUGUUUAUGGACUUGCAGAAAAAUUUUCGGCAAAUUCAAGAAUCACUAGCACAAAUCCUUGAUAAGCUAAAAUAAUUGAACAAAGUGGAGAUGUUGAUUUUGAUGUGAAUGUUGAUGAUAUUGGUAGAGACCCUAUUAAUUCGAUUGAGCAAUUUGAUGUAAUGAAAAAGAUUUUAAAUACAAUUUCUAAUGCAAGAAAACGCAAGGUAAACCAUAAAAUAUAGUAGUAAGGUCAGUAAUUUUUGCAAACCUCAAACACUUUUAGGUUGGCUGUGAGGUCAGCAUUGCCAAAUACUUGUUCUAAUUCCGAGGGUUUAUAUACAUUUGUACUUAUAAAAAAUUUAUUUUAAAAAGUGGACACUUAUGUAGUCACAAUUUAUAGUCUCAUAAUAAGGCCUUAUAUGGUUUUUUACUUUGGUUCAAUGUUUAAGCUUGAUUAAAUUUUUUUGAUAAAAGGUUACUAAAAUGAGAGGUGUAGAAAGAAACUCCACGGACAACUGUCAAAAAUGUUUUGAAUGUUGUUAUGACUCAAGAAAUGCAAUCAUUAUUUAGCAAGGACGGCAGAAAAGGGUAACGAAAAUUUACAAGCACUGCUCAUUAUAAAUGCAUUAAAGAUGCUAUUGUUGGAGACAAAAAUGGAUAUGAUGCAAGCAGCAUUGAUGGUGUCAUUGGCGACAUGCUAAAACGAGCCAAAAAAUAGUAUUUUUGGUUGAUUAAACUUUUUAAUUAUAAAGCUUUUAAAGUUUAUUAAAUCUGAUCCAGUUAUGGAAUACAAGUGCUCAUUAAAGCAACAUCAUGUUUCUUCUACAAAAAGGUUGCUUAGCACAAUUGUUAUUAAAGAAGAUUGGGCAGAUACAAAAACUGUUGUGCCAUCUCAUUGGGUUGAAAAAUGUAAAAGUUGUAUAUUUUAUAUUAUUGGAA
rnacentral:lncRNA from 1 species